UGCACAUCCCUCAGUGUUAUAAAGAUUUUCUUAUGCAGUUCAGAGUCUGUGAUCUAUCUGCAUAUAUUACAUUUGGCCCCCUCCUUUUGCACUAUCAUGGAUGCUGUAGUAUUGUUUCCACAAAAUCACUAUGCCUUUUGGAAAGCUUCCCCAUCAGUUUUUUCUUGGUAAUUGAAUCUCUGAUGUCCAAGGUGGCUGUUGAAAUGUGCAGUUACGUAAUCCUCGCACCCGCGGCUCACGCGCAGGCCCGUUGGCUGACGCUGCCGCACCCUAUUGG